GGAACAACUCCCACCUGGCCUCCUACUCAGCUGACAGGAAUCUGGUUGGAGUUGUUGUGUCCCAGCCUUCCCAAGCUUCCAGGUGUCCCAGAAACCCAGGAAAUCGAGACUCAUGACUCCCAGAGAGGAUGGCGUCUAGAAGCUGGAAGGUAGAAGAGAAAUACGGCCUGUUUUUGAAGGAAAAUGAGGGACACAGAGACCUCUAGAGGCAUAGGAGGAACACCACCCAGACUCUCAGAGGAGACCCAGGACUCCAAGAAGGCAAAAAGUCUGCACCUAGUCCCCACAGUUUACUGAGCCAUCUGUCCAGGAUCCAGAGACAGCAGGGAGCCUGCUCCAACCUCUGAGGGUGCCCCAGUGUCUCCCUCACCCAGGGAAUCAUCUGAGCACUGAGGGAAGUGGCCGCAGGAAGGGGCUGAGAUAAGGGCCUUGAGAGGCAGUGGGAGUGUUGGGGACGGUGAUCUAGGAGGGCGUGGUGAGCUCUGUAACGGAGGGUGGGGUGGAAUUGGGAGCGAGAGCCCAGUGGCAUACUGGGUGGGUUGACUGGAUGUCGAAGAGAGGUCAGUGAAAAGUGGCCACUGUUUCCAGAUGAUGGUUUGACUUUGCUUUAUUUGGUAAAGUGGAAGAGGAAGGUAUAACUUCUCCAGGCGUCAGAGGUGCUCUGAGAGCAUUUCAGGGGUUUCCCAGUUGAGAAGCUGAUGGGGGUGUUACUGAAUGGGCCAUUUCAAAGACACAGUGGAGGGAAUUGUAAGGGGUAGUGAUCUGGCUGAGGGGCACUGCAGUGGAAUGGGAAUUUAAACAGUAAGAGAGAAUCAAGAGAGGAGCUUUGAAUCUACCAUUUUGGGAAGAGGAAGGAGGAAAGGGUGAUAAAAGAGAGUCUGCAACCUUGGGGUAGUGCAGAAAGCAGAACCACUCUUUUGGGAAGGAGGGAAACUGAGCUAACCCUAUGCCUGGGCACUGGACUUCUCCCAUAUGGGAUGUAGUAUAUGUGCUUGUUUGUGCCCAAGGCAUGCACACACACAAAAGUUGACUUAUGGACUGUCGAGUAACUCUCCUUGGGGUAGGAAAACUUCAGGGUCAGCUAGCUGGGGCCCCAGAGGCUUCACUUGGGCUAGGAUAUCCCGGAUAGAGCGGCAGGGGAUCUUUCCAGCACUGCUGGAGCCACAGGGCUUGGCACCAGCGGCGGGAUCAGGAUGGGGAGAGCCAUCAGGGCCCCCAGUCAGUGUCAAGGAGGAGACAGACAUGCAAGGGUGACCAGAAGAGCUGGACUUGCUGCCACAAGGCUGAAGGAUGAUUUUGCCACUGGAUUGGGAACUGGAGCUGCUGCUGAAGGAGCCGGUGCCUGGUGGGGAGCAGGGGCUCUGGGAAGAACUGCCGCAGGGAUGGUAGGGUGAACCGGAGCUGCUGGAAAUGCUAGAACUGCUGGGGACUCGAGAACUGGAGGGAGAGCAGGGUCCCUUGGAGCCUGUGGAGCCGCCUCCACAGAGCCGGACCCCACCAGUCCCCACUGGCUGGAACGCAAUGGCCGAGGAAGCUCCCGACUGGCUGGGGAUGAUGGGGUUGCUGGAGAAGUAUUUGCCCUCAGAGAUGGGGGGCCCAGCUGCAAAGGAAGGGACCCCUGGAGAGCCUUUCACAGGGUUCUCUUUGGUGAAGUAGCCCACAGGGUAGAUUUUACCCUUACUGUAGGUCAUGCCUGGAACCAGAUAACUGUCAGAGGAGCCACCCACCACCUCGUAGCCACCAUAGGAUUUGUCUACAGAGGUGAUUGGGGGACAGGGCUUGCCUGGAAGGCCACCAUUGCUACAGGGGGGACCUUGAACCACUCCAGGGGCACCAGAACCGUGCUGCUCCACCACCACCACCACAGGCCUCUGACCCCCUGACACAGAGUGGGAGCUGGGGAUGUAGGGGCCGGAGUGCGAGACGAUGGGCCCUCCACUGCAGGGAGAGUCGGGGAUGUCCGAACUACAGGGACGCUGGUUGGAGCUGACGCUUUGGCCACUGCUGGACACCCCAAAGGUCUGGGAAGAGGAAGAGGUUUGUCCAGGCUGGGGAGGGUUUAGUAUUCCACGGUAAGAGUUGUCAUUGGUUGGCAGAGCAGAGCCAUUCCCUACUUUGAAGCUGCUGCUGCUGAACUGAAAGCUGCUGCUGCUGCUCGAAUGAGAGCCGCUGCUUCCCGAGUGAGAGACGCUGCUGCCCACCUGGGAGGAACCGGAUGCACCUUGUAGACUAGAGCCAGAUCCUGAGGAGUAGCUGACCUGGGAAUACCCCGUUCCUGGUUUAAAAGAUCCUGCAGAACCACCCUGGGCAAUGCUGGAUCCACUGGAGCUGCCACUGGAGCCACCACCAGAGCUUCUGGCACUGGAAAUGGAGCUGCCAGAACUGCUGGAGCCACUGUAGCUACUGAAGCCGCUGGAGUCACCCUUCCCAGUGAGGCAGGGGUCGUUAGGGGAGGUGAUACGUGUGGGGUCCUUACAGGGGUCUGAGAAGGUGCCAAUGCUCUUAGCCAAGGUCCCUGUGGAGGAAAGCAGUGGUUAGUAAGGGCCAAGGAGGCUUGGCUUCCUCCCUCACCUUUCUGCCUUAUCUCAGUCAUUGGCCUCUCGGGUUUAGGGAGAGUUUAGGGAUGAAGAAAGGAGGAAGAACUGGCUAUUGUCUCUAAAGGAUAUUGAGGUGGCCGAAUAAAGGCAGUUUCAUUGUUUGGGAAGGGUGGGCAAACACCAACCAGAAAAAUAGAAAAUUAGGUGCCAAAGUGAGGGGCCUCAAAGGAAUACAUUGAAUAUGAGAAGGGGCUGGACACAGUGGCUCACGCCGGUAAUCCCAGCACUUUGGGAGGCCGAGGUGGGAGGAUUGCAUGAGCCCCAGAGUUCAAGACCAGCCUGGGCAACAUAGACCCCGUCUGUAUUUUGUUUUUUAAUUAAAAAAAUUUUAAAAAAGAAGAGGGAAUGGAGAAGUGGCAGGAACAAGUAGGUCUAAAAGAAAGGACCCUGAAGAGACAGAGAAUUGGGGAAACUGAGGCUCUGAGAAGUCCAGGCAUAAAUUCUUAGGGGAAAAAUCCUGGGCCAGACAGUAGGACCAAAGGGAAGGAGAAGACAAAAGGCAAAACAAUGGAGGGCUGAGAAGCAGAGAAAAAUAUAGAAGGAGACACUGGAAAAAGAUAAAGCUGGGGGCAGAGGGCCUGAAAUAAAGGAAAGGGCACUCGAGGACUAAGAUUUGGUCACCAGCUUCUUCGUGAGAGCCCAGGCUGGGGUCAGGAAUGGAAACCCUAUUUCCCAUCUCAGCACUGGCCAUGCCAGUAAAGCUGGGUGGGGGCCAGGAUGUGGGGUCACUACCUGUUGCUUCAGAAACUGCUGGUACCAGUGUGUCAGGACACCGCACCCUGAGCCAGUCCUGCUCUCGCUGGCCCAGCCCAGGGAACCAGGAUGAAACCCCACGAGCCUCCGAGGCUCCUGGCCACAAUCAACUUCCCUCUCUGAGCACACCUGCCUCCAUCCAGCCCCUCAUCUGACUUCUGCUGCCUUGACUUCCCUCAGGGAUGUGGAGCCACAUCUUUCCUUAUCUUUCCUUUCCUUUGCUCAAAACCCCAGGCCCAACUUACCCCAUGGUUCUUCCAUGACUCUUUCACCUGCAUUCCUUCUGCCUUCCCUAGCCCCUCCAGGUCCCAUGUCUCACAAACGGAGCCACAUAGUAGCAAGUUACUGAACCUCACUGAGCUUUAGUUUAUACAUUCAGAGGGGCCAAAUUUGCCCUGCCUUCCCACAGCAUUACUAUGAAGAAAACUAAAUGAGAUCAUCCAC
rnacentral:sRNA from 1 species